rnacentral:tRNA from 1 species
GGGCGAUUAGCUCAGGGGGAGAGCACUUGCCUUACAAGCAAGGGGUCGCAAGUUCGAAUCUUGCAUCGCCCA